CAUAGUUUGACGCUGGCUGGCAACCUAACGCAACCCUCCUCCUUUAUCCGGGCUUGGGACCGGCCAUGACCGGUCAUCAUGGGCGGAGUUGGAUAAAGAGCACUAGAAAAACAAUAUUAAAAUGACGAUCAAAAGUUCCCUAAUACAGUCCUUUCGACUUUCAAGUAAUAUCCAGUGGAGGAGGAAGAAAGAAGGGAAAGAUGAAAGUUCCCUAAUACAAUUUCGAUUUCCCUUUUCAUUGGACCUAUCAGUUUCUAUUUCCUCUUGGUCGUGUUAGCAUAUUUAAUCCAUUUCCAUUUCUCAGUUUCUUUUUUUUGUGCUACAAUUGCUAUAAUAUUUCCACUAGUUUAAUUGUUGUAGCUACUAGUGAUUUUGAACUUUGCCCUGAAUAAAAAACGUAUGGUCUCUAAAAGCUCGGGUCUUCUAGAUCAUUGUUCGAUGAUUUCAUGCAUGACCAAACUCUCUAGAAGACUUAUUUUUAUAAAAAAGAAAAAAAAAAUUGGUAUCAGGUACAUGGAUGAUGAUGUAGUGAAUUAGGGUACUAAUAUUUUAUAAGUCAAACAAAAACCUAUUUACUUUUGUUGGUUUCACAAUGAUUUUCAUUGGCCAAUUUCAUAUCCUAUUUUUUGAGCAACCAGAUCCAGUUUAGUUUUUAAUCUCUGAUUACUGUAAUUGUUAGCCACUACAAUAUAAGAGAUUAGUAUAGCUAAGAUAUGAUCACUCAUAGAACUCAGUUAUAGGGUAAGAAGAUCUCUAUAGGACUGAUCUCAAAUAGUUGGAUCAAACAGUUUGUUGCAGUAUAGGCUUGUACUAUUUUUGUAGUGUAAUUUUAAAUUUAAUUUUUAUGACAAGUUUUAUUUCUUUCAUAUUGUGCACGGGCAGACUCAUAAUGGAGAAGUUGCCUCACUCGUAUCAUUAAUCUACAUGUGCUGUACACAAUGAGUGUGUUUUUAUUUUUGAUCAUAUGUUAUUUAGAACUCAUGCUGAUAUGCUUACCUUUGGUUGAUGUUCUUUCAGUGUCCAAGUGGGCACACUUUGUGCUUUUCCUACAAAAACAAAGUAAACAAGUGCCCAAUCUGCCGAAAGGAAAUUGGCCAAAUCCGUUGUUUAGCACUGGAAAAACUUGCUGCUUCACUCCAUUUACCUUGUUCAUACCAUCAUCUUGGUUGCACAGAAAUGAUGCCCUAUUACAGCAAGUUGCAGCACAAAACACAUUGUGUUUACUAGCCUUAUGCAUGCCCUCAUCCUGGUUCAGAUUGUCCCUUCACCGGAGACAUUCAUGAACUUAUGUCACAUCUUAAACAAUGCCACAAAUUGGAUCUUCAAGCAGGAAGCACUUUCCAUCACCGUUAUGUGAAACAGGAUCCUCAUUUUGUUGACAAUUGCUCAUGGACUCUAACUCUAUUCAACUGCUUCGACUGCUACUUCUGCCUUCAUUCCGAAGCGUUUGUGAUAGGUUGUGAGCCAGUUUAUAUGACCUUCAUCUGUUUCAUGGGCGAAGAGUCUGAGGCAAGGAAGUUCACUAUUGCCUUGAAAUUGGAGGCCAUGGGCGCAACAUGAAAUGGCAAGGUGUACCUCAAAGCAUCAGGACUCACCACAGGAUGGUGCGAGACAGCUACGAUGGGCUCAUAGCCCUGAACUUUGCUUCUCAAAAAUCAGAUGUUUUUGCUCUCGAGCAGAUUUUGCUACUGGAAGCCUCAAUGGCACUCUAAUUCCAGACAUUUCAUCGCUACUACUUGGAUAUAUUACUCAGUAAAUCUUGAAACUCAUAGGAGACAGGCACAAACCCCAAACCCAUAAAAAUAGGAUGGUUUUGCUAUCCCGCAGAUUUUGCUCCUGGAAGCCUCAAUGGCACUGUUAUUCCAGAUCUCAAAUCACUGUAUAUCUAAUCGGUAAAAAGCAACUGAACAAUGGUGUAUAUGUGCAUUUUGUUAUUAAGUAUAUUCGAAAAC